rnacentral:RNase_P_RNA from 1 species
GGAGACAACCAGGCGAUCGCCGGCUUGUCAACAGGGCAAGCGGGAGGAAAGUCCGUGCUCCGCAGGGCAGAGUGGUGGCUAACGGCCACCGCCCGAAAGGGUAGGGAAAGUGCCACAGAAAAUAUACCGCCGGGCCUCGUGUGACUCACCGGUAUGCGAAUGAAAGGGCCCGGUAAGGGUGAAAAGGCGAGGCAAG